AUGGCGGCAAUGGCAUGGAGCUCGUCGUGGCUUGAGGUGCUACGUUCAGGUUCGUGCAGUGGUGGUGGUUGGCGGCAGCUGGUGGUGGAGGUGUGUUCUCCAGUGAUCCCGACGCCAUCCGGUGCUCUGGAUCCGCAAGUUCUGUUAUAUGGCGAGGAGCUCCGGCGAAAGCACUGCCUUGACCAAGUACUCAAGACACUGGCGAUCAGAGAAGCGUUGGCCUUGGCAAAUGACUUGUACAUCAGGGUGAUUUGGUGCCCGAGCCCAGAUGAUCCUGAAAUCUUCGGCGCCAGUUCCAGGCUCGGGAUCCGAAUAAUUCGUUCUGACGCGUCUGACAUCGAGCGUGGAAAAAAGGACGUACGGUCCUUGCGGCGGCGCUCGUUCUGCACCGGCGGGCACGGAGAAAUGGAAGAUGGUGGGGUUGAGUUCCUGCUUGAUGUCAUUGGCAGGUUCCCAUUACGAGAGGAGUUCGCGGACAACCUCGAGCACCCAGAUCCGGUUCCCCUGGUCUUGUUACCAAACAGCGGAGCCGGCCUUGCCGUUCCUGCGGACUCAAAUACUGGGUCUGUUUGCGCUCAACAGCUCGGCGGCGAUGGGAAUGAUAUGGCAGGAGUUGGAGUCCGCCGUCGUGCGGAUGCAUCACCGACGAGGUUGACUCAGUCUACUGACAGAGUCAAUCCAGAGGUACCUGGGAGGACAAAAAGGUGUGAACCCAAAUCCUCCCGCUGUUGGUCUGUCACUAAAAAAAGUCCAUAUACACCAGAAAGUUAUGGCUGGGCAGUGAGCCACCAGAUGACGAUGGACUCUAAAGUCAUGGGCUAUAGAGUUGAUUGGCUAAAGAAGUUCAUGUUCCCGGUGCAUUUCAUGGAUUGCUGGUCAUUAUAUAUCUUGGAUACCGAUAAGAAGAUUGUGAUGGUGCUUGACCCAAUGGAGACAAAUCUGUCGGAUGAGAUGAAAAUCAAGCACGGGCCUCUAGCAAGGAAGUUUCAGCAGAAGUUAUGCACCCUAUUCAGUGACAUGUUCGGAGCCGGUUUGGUUGAGACCACUGGAUGGGAAGACAGUGGCGUAUAUGUUGCUCACUACGUCCUGGAGUUCACCGGUCUAUACCUUAGAUCAACUAUAACCCAGGGUCAGAUCGAGCACCUGCGCAAGAAGAUUGCAUACGAGAUAGUGAUCAUGAAGGGAAACUAG
rnacentral:rRNA from 1 species